AGGGGGAGGUAGGGCUGUGGACGCACAACGAGGCCAAGGAAGAAGGUGCACGCUGCUCCGAGGUCGCCCCGGGACCUUGGUGCUCCUAAUGCUUGGUUUUCACUGCAGGUGGACAAGUAGGGGAGUCAUAUCCUGAGAUGAGAGUGAGAACCAGAGGUUCAGACCCUUCAGAGAUCAUGUCUGGGUCACCCUACCAGGCAACCUGCCUCGCCCAGCAGAGGCGCAAGCUGAAGGAGUGGGGAAACUUGAAUUGGUGGCGGAGGAGGGGACGGUGUGACAUUUGGGACAAUUUGUAAGUUUUUUGCUGGGGAACAUAAAUGAAAACCCAUCUUUUAUUCUCCUUCUGCCUUGGACCUGCUGAUGUUCCCACUUUGAAGUGGAGUCUGUGCUGAAGGCCAUUCCGGUGGGAGAUGGACGCUCAGGGCAGCUGAGGAGACGGACGCUCGUUGAGUCCUUGCUUUGACAGCUGAGUACUUGAGAAGCUGCCACCCAAGUACUUUUGUGAAUGAAAAGCACUAAAUUAUCAUCAUCCAUUCCAUGGAAAGUGGUUGGAAUAAUGCUCCCAGAAGUCUGCUGUGAUGGAGGGUUACCCAGGUCCUGAAGAAUACCUGCUAUCUUGUGAGCCUUCUUCUAAUUGUUUUUGUUAUGAUUAAUGUCAUUAUGGUAUCAAUGUGUUUUAAUGGGGACGUUUGUCUUCUUGCUGUUUGUGUAUGUCAUAAAUCUGAAGGAGAAAAAUAUGGAAACAGAAGGGCGCAUGUCUUUACAAGUGUGUUUGGAGGCAAACCAAAUGGUGCAUUUCUCUUCGGAUGCUCUCUGAUUUUCAGCCCUAGAGUUUCAGACUAAAAAUAGGAUGUCUUCUUUUUGCAAAGGGCUGCUGAUGUGACUCCUUCAUGGACUGGUUCUGUUGGUACAAAAGGCAACUCCUGGGCUUGGAUGUACUGACUCAUUAGUCAUUAAGGAAUUUACUCCUUAAAGAAUAAUGUAAUGCAGGUUUAAUUAAAGCAAAAGCUUAAAGUUGAUGUUAAUUUAAUGGUACAGUCAACUUUCAAUUAUCCUUGAUGCUGAAAGAGGGGGUGGCAUUGAUAAUACAAAUUAAUGAAAAGCCUAGAAUACAUUCUACUUUUCCCCCUAAAUUUAUCAAGAUUGCUGCUCUAAUUUUACUUUGUACAAGGGGCUCAUGUUGAAAUGAUCAUGAAAGCCAAUUUUGGGGAAAGCAGGAUAUUGGCAUGGGGAAGAAAGUUCAUGGCCUGCCAUGCAUGCAUUAGGCACUUUACCUUGUUAGUUUUUGAAAUGUCCCAACUACCUGUGAGAAAGGUACCACUAACCAUAGUUUAUAAUUAAGGAAACAGAGGUUGUAUUGAAAGACUUGUCCAAGGUCAUUUACUAGAAAUUAGUGUAAUAAGUGUUUCUGUGUUUCUCAAUCCAACCCAUGUAUUGAACAGAGAGGAAAACAAUGUUUUAAUCUAAACCUGAAUUGCAAUGUCUUCUAUACUUAAAAAAAUAGUGUAAAUUCUCUUCUGAAUAUAUGGCAUUUUCUUAUCAAGCAAAAUUCUUGCUUGGGAUGACAGCAUGGUUUGGAAGAAAAUAGCGAAGCAUGAUUUUACACCGCAAAUGGAAAUGAGGGUGGGGGUGCACAGAGAGGCCUGUGCAGGUGAGGAUACUUCAUAUUACGGGGUUGAUAGAACUUUUGAGAACAAGGGCAUCUAAAAAGUCAAUGUUUGUGUUACUGACAGGGAAGUUCUCUGACGGAACAAAAUGUCCUUCCCUCCAAAUCUUCAGCCAGCUGUGCCAGGUACAAAUACCCGGUGUUAGUGGAGCUAGAGGGCUGUUUUAAGGCCGAGGAAAGACAAUGCGCUGGGAGGUCAGAUGAGGUGAGUGGUGGACAGAGUUAUGUAUUAGUCAGGGUUCUACAGGAAAACAGAACCAAUAGGAGAUAGAUAUAUACGGGCAGACUUAUUAUGAAGAAUUGGCUCACGUGAUUAUGGAGGCUGAGGAGUCCCACAGUCUGACAGUGUAACUCUGUCUGAGUCUGAAGGCCUUAGAACCAGGGGCACCAAUGGUGUAAACCCCUAUCAGAGGCAGAAGAAGAUAAGAUGAGAGGUCUUGGCUAAAACAGUGAGGCAGGAAGAAAGGGGCUGCUUCCUCCAGACUCCAUCUUUGUUCCAUCCAGCCCUUCAGUGGACUGCAUGACGCCCACCCACCUUGGGGAGGGCAAUCUGCUUUAUUGAGCCCACCCAUUCAAAUGCUACUCUCAACUGAGAACACGCUCAUAGACACAUCCAGAAUGAUGUCUAAUCUGGGCUUCAUGGCCAGUCAAGUUGGCACAUAAAAGGAGCCAUCAUAAACUUCCUGUGAGGAAGUAAGCCACAGGAAAUUAAAAGACUCCUAGAGGAGGGUCUGAUGCUCUCUGGGCUGCAGACAGUGAGUCAAAGUCCCUUUAUGUAAGUCUUCAAGGGCAGGAUGGAUUCAGUAGGCAUAUGGCUUAUGUAUUAACAGCGGCCUGACAAGGUAACUGGUUAUCAGCUAGUUACUGGCUUGCCGUCAGCCAAUCAGCCAGCAGAUUUAGAGCUCUGUAGAUGCCACCCUAUCACAUCCUAGAAUCUUGCUACUCUAAGUGUGGUUCCUGGGCCAGAGCUCCUUAUAAGUGCAGAAUCUUCAUGCAAACAAAUCCCCAGAAUUUCUCCAGAUAAUUGAUCUGCACAUGGAAGUCUGAGAAGGACUGGCCUGAAACAUACGGGGCAGAGGGCAUAAGGGCAGCGAGGUAUGUGUAGAAGGCUGGAGUGAAGGUCACAAUGGGGAAACUGAACUUGGAUUUUCAAAUAUUUGCCAGGUAUCACCUAUGGUAAUUAGACAUCACUCCGAGUUGAGGAUGGAAUGUGCAUUCCCUAAGUCCAGCCAAGCAUAGACUUGCAGGCUGGAGGUAGGAAGAACAGCUCACCCUUCCCAUGUCCUGAGCCACUUGCCUUCAGACCUACUGCCCCACUCUGGUCUGGAAGCAGAGCCUGCUGCAGGAAAUAUUUGUUCUCUUCUCUCUUUUCCACACCCUUGCAUUCAAAGUGUGUUUGUGUGGUUACAUGUAGAGUUUAGCUCAUGGGUCAUCAUUGUGAGAAAAAUCAAGGCGGAACGAAUAUGACUAGGGAUCCUGGACUCUGAUAUUGGACUAGUGGAGGCAUGGCAUUGCCUCAGACCACCUUGACCUGUCUCCACUGGGGAGGGCAUCGUGUUUUCACCAGUGUGCCUGCCAUGUUAGGUAGAGAUACCUCUAAAUGCACGGGAGAAGGUUGUGGGGUGUGUGUGUGUUUUGUUGUGUUUCCCACAUAGCAGAAUGAUAGGAAGCAGUUGAAUAACGUCUGGGGGUACACGCUCAGCUCAUCAGUUCUUGUUUUGAGAGAAGCUUCAUUGCACACUGGGGAUAUGUAUGUCUGUUCUAGAUGAUCUCUUCUUUGACCAAGUUUGAUCCAACCUUAACUUCUCUGGGACAAUCAGACACCUCUCUCAGGGGAGGUGAGUCUUAGAAAGAAAGGGUACAUUGCUAUGGAAGAUAUAAAAAAAGAGUGAACCUAGAGGGGGAGCUCCAGGAAGUACUCCGGGACAGUGGCAGCCGACCCAAGUGGGAGGGAUGUAGGAGUGUGCUGGACGUGCAGCCGUGGGGAGAGGGUGCCCCAGGCAGCACAAAGGCAGGUGCAAAGCUCUGCAUUAGAAGGCACUAUGGUGUGUCUUCGGAGCUGAGAGUGUUCCAGCAUCGCAGAAGCUGUGAGGUGAAGGGGAAUGGGCGGGAAGACAAUGGCCUGGAAGUGGUAGGCGGGGGCCAUAUCAAGGACUUCUUUAAGCAGAAGGCUAGUGGUGUUGGGUCAGGUUUGUCCCAGAGCAAGGGAGAAUUAGGAAGAAGUAAGUAAAAUUUAGGGUGGAUUUUGCAUCUUGGAGAAAAGAUGAAUGUAGAAGCCAAAUAGCAAACCUUUAAAGAUCAAGGCAAAACUGUGUGGUGACCGAACCAGCCGCUCACCUGGGGUGUUUACUGCUAUGAACACACUUGAGAAAGGGGCAGGAAGCUGAAAUGCUCCCAGCUGCGAGUACACGCUCCUAGAAGGUGCAGGAAUCGAGUUUUCUGUGAUAGAGUCUUGAGCGUUAGCAAGAUCACAACUACGUGGGGUGCGGGAUUCUUCUUUUAAGUAAAAUGGGGAGAAAUUUUCUUUUACCAGGAGAGCCUUAACUUCAUUCUCUAAGCAAAAGUCAAGGUUUGAUCAUCGUUUCAAGAUGAUUAUUUAUGGCUUAGCAGAUAAUCCCACAGCGCCCUUGGCUCUGGCAUUGCCUUUGCUCUAUCUCUUUCUGUCUCCUGAAUUUAUUGAUUUCAUUAGAAGAUAAGAGUGACAAGGACAGCUUAUAAUACUUGGGAGAAAUGUAAAACCAUUAGCAGGUCAUUGUUGAAGUCAGAACAUGCCCUGGUAAGCUCCUUAGGAAACCAGUGGCAGCCGACGAUACAGGGAUUAACCUGCCCGAGUUUAUGUGUGUGCGUGCACGUGUGUGUGUGCGUGCACGUGUGUGUGUGCGUGCACGUGUGUGUGCAGGCUGCACACCAGGUCUCCAGCAAUGAGCUUGUAUUUGAUAAGCCCUGACACUGAACUGAUGGAAAUAUGGGUUAUUGACACAAACAACUGCUUUUUCCUUGCCUUUCCUUUUUCUUGCUUCCUAAGUUUGAGGUUCCGGUUCAAACUGCAUCUGUGGUACCGGAGGGCUGCUCUUGGGUGGGCAGGGGAGAAGGCUUUCAGAGCUUGGCAUCUGUCACUAGCUGGGGUCAGAGGGUGUAACAGGAGUGACCACCAGCCUCUCCCAAGUGGUCCGCCCCGUGGCCAGUGGCUGGUACCACGCGCUUUGAUGGGUCCUCUGAGAGGCUGCCUCUGCUUACUGUCCCCUCAAGGCAGGAACAGCUGCCGGGACUCCGUCUGUCCUGACCUUUCCUCAGGGGACGCGAUGGGGGAGGGGACGGUUGUGCUCAGUCUGAGGAUGUCCUUUACACAAACAGAAGCGAUUUUGUAAGGGCGGGGCUACUGGUGCUCGUGAAGGUUGGAGAGCCGGAAGAGAAUUAAUUCAGUUCUGUCUCUGCUCCUGUUUUCCGCCUGGUGUUGGCAGUGCAGCGGUUUGCAGAUACUUCACGUGGAUGUUUCAAAGAUCGUGAGGUGGAGGGACUUGAAAUAAUUGCUUGAUGCGAAUGUGCACUGGGGUUGUGCUUGGAAGAAGGUAGGCAGCUGGUCACGUGCUGACGACAGGGCUAGUAGAAACAGACUCCAAGGACAGCAAGCAGAGAUCGAGGCCUCAGGCAGAAGGUGAGUGAGGGCCAUCUCUAACAAAAUACUGGAGGCCUCGUGGCUUCAACAUUUAUUUCUCAUCGUUCUGGAGGCCUGGGAGUCGAGAUCAAGGCCCAGGCAGAUUUGAUUGCCUCCUGGCUCAGACAGCCACCUUACAUGUCCACACAUGGUGGAAGGGACAAAGGAACGCUCUGGGGUUUCUUUUAUAAGGGCACUAAUCUCAUUCUUCCUUCACUACCUAAUCACCUUCCAAAGGCCCCACCUCCUAAUUCCAUCUCUUUGGACGUUGGGCUUUUGAAUGAAUUUGGGGGAGACACAAACCUCCAGUCCAUAGCACAUCCAUGGAACCCUGGCUGGGGGCUCCCUGGCCAGCCUCCCUCCUCACCUGUCUGAGUGGGACUGGCUGAAACCCAAGAGGAAACCUCCACCCACAGCAGCACCGUGGGACCUAAACAUCAAUGUGGAAGCUGAACCAUGUGGCUGCCGACCCUGACCAUUGACAUGACCUUCAGCGAUUGCCACUGUCAGCGCUUGCCUCGUCUGCCUUGAAAUUGAAUCAUACCAUGCGUGCUUCUCUCACAGUGAUUCUGAGAGCCAAGAAAUCGUAUUUGCUAAAAUGUACUGAAAAAUCUCAAGUGCAUUACUAGCAUGGACAGACAGACUAAUUGUUGGGGAUAUAGGAAGAGCGGUUUUACGGAGGUCCAGAAAGUUCAUCUCCCUUUAUCUUUCGCACUGUGAACCUUCUGUUUGUGAGCCUUAGUGAGCAAGUGACUCCUGUAGGUAAAGUGAGUGUGAGUUAUAUUUAAGGUAAUCAUUUUGAAGGUACUUUCAAGGAAUUUGCCUCCCAAUAAUUGAAGACGAUUGUAGUUUUCUGUUUCAGAUACAAUAAUUUAUUACAGUCAUGCUGCCAGAUAAGAUCUGAGACAUCCAGUUAAAUUUGAAUUUCAGAUAAACAAUGAAUAGUUUUUUAGUAUGUCUCAAAUACUGCAUGGGACAUACUAUACCUACUCAUACUGAAAAUUCGUCUGUUGUUCAUCUGCAGUUCAAAUGUCACUCAGUAUCCUGAAUUUUCAUUUGCUAAAUCUAAUCACCACAUACUGGAGAUCUGGGUUUCUAGUGGACAUAUGAGAGUGAAAUCCCAUUCCCAUAAAAACUGCUUUUUAGCCUUUUUUUAAAAAAAACAAACAUUAAUAGGAAUCACUGAAUUAGCAUUGGCAUGUGAGGUAAUUUCUUUGAGCUUCUCAUUCGUCAUCUGUAAAAUGCAGAGAAUAGUGCCCUACUUGGUUCUCAGGUUUGCCUGCUGAUCAGAAUCACCUGAUUAGAUCACCAUUUACAAUGCCCCAGCACCUUAGACCAAUUACAUCAGGACCUCGGUGUGGUGGAGCCCAGGGUGGGUUACAGUAGAAAGUUCCAUCCAGUCAUUGCAAUGAGGCAGCAAGGGUGAGAACCCUUGGCAUCACGCCUAGUGAGCUGUGGGGCUCAGUGACCCAGCAGCUGUCACAGAGCAUCUGCCAGUGUAAGAAUGCCACGGGCAGUCCCUGCAUUAUGUUAGGAAGAAGGCUAGAGUGGAAGAGGAAGGAGAAGAAAGGGUGACAGGUAGGGUGACAGGCUGUGCAGAGGCAGUGUCUUAAAAGCACGUGGCCCAUGUGGGAUACUACAGGCCCGUCUGUAUGGGUCUCUGUGGCUGGAACACAGCUUGUGGAGGACAGCAAGAAACCAAGAAAUGGUUUCUAAAGCCAGGUUGUGGAGGCUGUGGGCCACAGCCAGGGGUUUGCGCUCCAUUUUGUGGGCCUUGGGGAGCCAUUGCCAAUGUUCUCGCUCCUGAAGAGAAGAGUUUUCGUGGAAGCCCAGGUGUGCAUCUCAUAGGAAGAUAUGAGCCAGGUGGGACCCAUGGGAGGUACCAUCCCCCUAGUAGGAAUCUUAUCUGUCUUGCUCAGUGUUAUAUUUUCAGUGCCAGGAACUAUAUCUGGAGCAUAGUAGGGACUCAACAAUGGUGUUAGAUUGAAGGAGUAAAUGGAAAAAAAACAAAGGAAAAGCCCAACAGAGGGAGCGUGGCAUGGCCGGACUGGUGGCGAGGUGAAGGCAGAGGUCUCCAGUCCUGUGCUGACCUCGGGCGCCACCGGACAAGUCAUGGCCUCUUCUUGGCCUCUGUUUCUUGCCUCUUGAAUGGAGGGCAUGAUGUUUUGCUCUUGGUGAAAACUCCCUUUGAGAGUGUUGGUGUUUCCGUGAUUUCUGAAAGUUGGGCCCCCAGACGGCAGAGUUGUGCAGCUCACAGGGCUGCUGGAGGAAACUCGGCAUACCCGUGAGUAGGCAUCCGACGUCGGGGGAGUGGCUGGACCACAGCCUCAAGAGUGAGUUUCAGGGUUGUAGGUCUAAGCAGUGUCACGGUGGAGAGGGGUCCAAGGCACAGGUUGGACGGGAGGACAACCAGCCGGUUCUCAUCUCAGCUCCUGCAACUCAGCGCUGUGGCUCCAGGCAACUCACUUCAUCUGUUUGCAUUUUGGUUCCCUUAGUCGUAAAAUGAGGAGUUUGUAUUAAGUUGACUCUGUAGAACAUUCUCGGCUUUCAACUGCUCUGAGUCCAUGGUGUGCUCUUGGGUUUCUUUUAUCUUUACCUCCAUGGACCUUUGUUUCUAAAGAUCCAGGCCCCGUGACACUGCUCCUUCCCUGUGCCUUCGGAGACAGAGCCGAAAAGCUGACUCUGCACCUCUUUGUGCCUCCGAGCCUUUUGCGCAUAAAGAAGGGAAAGCUGGAUAGUUUUUUUCCCCUUCUUCUUUAACAGAUAUUUUUAGCUUUUCUAAAAGCUUCUCACUUUGAGCCUUAAAAAGAAAUAAGAACCUCUUCCAAAAAUGCAAAUGCUCUGGCAAGAAGCAAGAGGGGUGUUUUCAAUCUUUCCAGAACAAUUGUUUUCUCUUCCAUUGACAUUUGUGGGGUAGAGGGGUGAAGGUGGGGCUGCAGAGGGGGAGGAGGGAAGGUGUUGUGACAACUAGAGUGACUCUGUGGCCAGCAGGGGUGCUUUCCUGGGGGCUGCCCUCUAGGGAGGGUGCAAUGGGCUGGCUUUCCCUACUCAGCCAUUAUUUCACAUUGCUCCGGAACACUUCUGGUUGGAAGAGGAGACGGCUCUAUAUGUUUAGAACGUUGCAAGUCCUGACAGAGCCAUGAGGUGAGGUGAAGGCUCUUUCUCCCCAUCAGCCCCCAGCUUCACGCAGACCUUGGAAGUCAGAGGAGCUGCUGGGGACGCUCGGAGUUACAUCCCCACCCCACGUGAGGAGGGACAGGGAGAGCAAGGUCGAUUCCAGUUGGCUUACUUUGCCUCCCCAGCUCUGAAUUUUUCUAAUUUGGAAGCUUCCACUGGCCGGUUGAGGUCUUGUCCUGGUGGCAUCUCUCCUUCCUCUGUCUCCCCACAGCACCCUGCCUGCUUCCCAGGAGGAGGAUGAGGAGGGGGAAGAGGACUGCCUGGCGCAGGGGUCACGCUGCUGGGCACCUGGGCAUCUUUAUUUCACUUACUCUUUCCAACAAUCCUGUAAUUGUGUCUAAUUCCUAGUUCUGAUUCCCUAGCAUCUAGCUCAUAGUAGCUGCUUGUUAUCUGUUCGGUUGUCUGAAUUAAGACUUUCAUUUAUGUCUUUCAGAGCUAAUUCAAAGUUUGACCUUAUUCAGAAAUAAUGAUUUGGCCCACAAUCUUGUUGAAAAACAAUACAGUUUGGUUCUGCGUAUGUCAAACUCAUGGGACAUUGGUGAAUACAGGCUCUUUAAGGGGCCGUUUAGCUUGGAAUUACUGAGCAGAAGAUGAUUAUAUUGACAUAACCAUCUGAAAACGAGAGACAGUACCCUCCAGCCCUCACACUCAGUCACGCUCCCCAGAAGUUAGUGAUAGAGGGGAACAAGGCAAUGUGGGCAAUGUUGUAUACCACAGCUUCCAGAAGCACAGCUCAGCUUGCCUGUCACUGGACCACAGGCCUAUGGAAGGUCCAUGUCCAGAGAAUCAGGAGUCAAUCACAAAGGAGUCAUAAGAAUGUAGAUCUCACAUAGUUUUCUUAGGGAGAAUGAGCCCUGCUCUUUACAACUGAGGAAGCCCAUGGCUCUGGAAGGAAGGUGAUAACUCAGGUAUUAAUUUUGUCUUGGCUUCUUGGUGGCUGGGGCCAGAGCUCACAUUUCCUCCCCUCUGCUUUCUGCCCUGCCCACCAUGAUACACCCCCAACCUGACGUUGACUUGAAUAAAUGAUGUUUAAUCGGUCCUAUGGGCAUUACUGACUUAUUGUUUACUCUGAGAAGAUAGAAAUGAACACAGUCAUCUCUGGAUAUCAAAUAUGAGUUGAGCCAACUCUCCCUUGAUAAUUUCGAGGCAAAUGGAGAGAGAGGCUGUAAUCGCCCUGGUGACACAUGGGUCUUUGGUUCUGUUGGCAGCGCCGUCAUCACAUUGAAUAACUGUAAGGGGAAAGGAGCUGUGAGAAGGAACACAGCCACACUCAGACCACUAUUCCUUUUCUUUUUAAAGUAUUUUUCUGUAAUACCACCAAGUAGUAUUCUAAAUAUUGACACGUUCAGAAGAUGAACAUUGGCUAACAGAAGAGAGAGAUGGAAUGAGCAUAACUAACAGAAUAAGAGACAGAUUCACAUGUAGGCAUUUACUGCUCGUGGAGUAGUUACUGUGCUCAAACAGACUUGUGUGCCUUAGCUUGCCGAAACCUCUCUUGGACCCGAGGCGAGAGCUGCUGUUAUACCCAUGUAUAGGUAAGGAAACAGAGGCCCAGAAAAGUUGGAUAACUUCCUCAAGAUCAUGAAAUUAGUGUCAGACUCAGAAUUUGAACCUAGCUCAAGCUGACACCAGCCUGAUCUCAUUCCGCUUCUAGAGUGAGAGCUCCAGCCCCCCCACAGGUGCUCACUUUGAGCAGGUAGGUUAACCUUAGCUUAACUUUAGGGCCAGACACUUUAGGGUCCAGGAAAUAUAAAGCAUGGUCUGCGGCCUCAAGGAACACGUGACCUAUUUGAAAGAGGUUAUGUUUAUAUGACACAUUCAAUAAAAGUUCAGCUGGUCAUCUUCAAUUAAAUGCUAAUUUUUUUCAUCCCAGCCAAUAGUUCAGAGAUGUUCAUGUCGCUGAGGGAGCACGGGGUCAGAGGAUUUGACCCCCUCUUGUUGGUGUAAUUAGGGUCUAGAUCUGGACACGUGGAUGGUGGACAGUGAUCCUUCUGAACAGGCAGUAAGACCAAAUGAAGAAAGGAAGAGGUGGGUAAAACAGGACUUUUAUUCAAAAAGGCCCCCAGCUCGAGUCAGUGUCUUCUAUGUGCCCGCUGUUUGGAAGGCAGGUGAAGAGAAAUGAGAAAAUAUCAUUUUGUCAUAGUUCAGGUGUGUCUAUAGCACUGAGCUCCUGAUCUGUAGAUGAGAAAAGAAGAUCUUCAGACAAGAGGUAUUCUGGGUCCUCCUUUAGCCCCUGAAAAUACUCAGUAACUGGCAGCUUCCCUGAAAGGAUGCUUUCCUUUGAUGACUGUCAUCGCAAGAUCAUUACUACCAUGGAGCAGGAGUUAAAGCUGCAUUACGCCAUUUGGGAUUAUAUCUCACCCACGAGAAAUUUAGGGGAAUCAGA